GUGGUGGGGAACCCAGGGAUGGUAGUGUGGUGGGGAUCCCAGGGAUGGUAGUGUGAUGGGGAACCCAGGGAUGGUAGUGUGGUGGGGAACCCAGGGAUGGUAGUGUGGUGGGGAACCCAGGGAUGGUAAUGUGGUGGGGAACCCAGGGAUGGUAAUGUGGUGGGGAACCCAGGGAUGGUAGUGUGGUGGGGAACCUAGGGAUGGUAGUGUGCUGGGGAACCCAGGGCUGGUAGUGUGAUGGGGAUCCCAUGGAUGGUAGUGUGGUGGGGAACCCAGGGAUGGUAAUGUGGUGGGGAACCCAGGGAUGGUAGUGUGGUGGGGAUCCCAGGGAUAGUAGUGUGGUGGGGAUCCCAGGGAUGGUAGUGUGAUGGGGAACCCAGGGAUGGUAAUGUGGUGGGGAACCCAGGGAUGGUAGUGUGGUGGGGAACCCAGGGAUGGUAGUGUGAUGG
ensembl:lncRNA